AGGAGAGAGCCUGAUUUUUAGCCAGUUCAUUUACUUGUGAACGACAAUGAGGACGCCCAGCUCUCCUUAAUCCAUCCUCACUUCCCUAUUUUUAUUUUCUGUUUCCUCGGUUGUUCCUUUAGUUCUUCUAGUUUGUGGUUUUGGUGUUUACUCGGUGUUAGUGUUUUGGAUUCGAGAGAUAGAUCUUGAUUUCUAGUUUGACUUGGGCAUUAUAUGGUAACCCCCCCCCCUUCCUCCUAUUUUCUCUUUGGAUUGUUGAUACGUUCUUGAUUUCUAAUCUAUUUUGAUGUUAUACAGUGAUUUCACUAUUAUAUUGUGCCCUAACUACGAUUUUUGGGUUUUAAUUUUGUGAUAGCCUAGAUCUGGAUAUUGCCUUACGUGAUUUUUUAAAAUUCUUGGAUUUUGAUAGCUUUUUUUGCCCCAGUGAUUGAUGAUGGAGAACUCUUUGAUUGGAUUUCUGCUAGUUUUUAAGUUUGAAUUGGGCUAUCCAUUUCCCAUGUUGUUUCUUGGUAGAGGAUUUUUUUUAAAAUUUGAUAGUGCUGCAACGUUUUCAUUUUUUCGUUGUGUUGUUCUUUUGUUUUUCCUUGCUGUUACUUACUCUGCAAUCUUGCACGAGAAUCUUGCCCGAGAGUUCUUUUUGAUUUCCUGCUAAUGAUUGAGGUCAAGAUUUGUGAUUCACGAUCAGUUGGCCCUUUCCCUAUGAAUGCAGCUAUUUGAUAUGAUAUCAGUUGUUUGCCUCAUUUUCUUUUGGAUAUAUUUGUGCUGCCAUUUACACUAGUUUAAUUUUGGAUGAUAUAUUGGUGAUUAGAGCAAGAUUCUGUAAUUUGAUCCUUGCAUUCGAUCCUAUUUAAUGCAGAUGCAAAUAUGACUUCUAUCUUUGAUUCACUUCACCUAUGGAUCAUUCUCUGUUAUCUCUGAGAUGAUGAUCACUAUUUUCGACAUUGUGGGAGAUGUUGUGCUAAGUUGGGAUUUUCAAAGGAUGAUUUCCCCCUAGGCUCCAACCUAUCCCUUUCCUAGUUCUAGUUAUAAUAUAGAUAUAAUCUUCUAUCAUCUUCGCUGGCUCUAUUUUUAUAAUGCAAACUUGUUGGACAGAACAAUAUUUUUGCACACAUCACAGAUCCACCUUUUAUGAAUACCUUUUAUAAACACUCUAUCUCCUGUUUAAAUCCCACCUUAAAACAUACCACCAAUAACAGCAAUCUACUGAAAUCAAGAACUGACCGACAGAGGUUCAUGCAUUGUGAAUAUACACGUACAACAAUUAAGAAAAAAUCAAAAUGUGUGCAAAAAUGUUGUUCAAUCCAACAAGUUUGAAUUACAAAAAUAGAGCCAGCGAAGAUGGUAGAAGAUUAUCUCUGUAUUAUAACUAGAACUAGGGAAGGGAGAGGUAAGAGCCUAGGGGGAAAUCAUCCUUCGAAAAUCCCAACUUAGCACAACAUCUCCCACAAUGUCCAUAGGUGAAUGUAUUGGCAUAAGAACAUGUAGAAGAUAAAACAAAAAAUAUGAAGGCACAAAGAAAAUAGCGAUCAUCAUCUCAGAGAUAAAGAGAGAAUGAUCCACAGGUGCAGUGAAUCAAAGACAGAAGUCAAGUCUGCAUCUGCAUUAAACAGGAUCGAAUGCAAGGAUCAAAUUACAGAUCN
rnacentral:lncRNA from 1 species